rnacentral:rRNA from 1 species
GGCUCAGGACGAACGCUGGCGGCGCGCCUAAUACAUGCAAGUCGAGCGAGAAGACGUAGCAAUACGUUUGUAAAGCGGCGAACGGGUGAGGAAUACAUGGGUAACCUACCCUCGAGUGGGGAAUAACUAGCCGAAAGGUUAGCUAAUACCGCAUACGAUUCCCGGACUGCGGUUCGGGAAGGAAAGCGAUACCGUGGGUAUCGCGCUCUUGGAUGGGCUCAUGUCCUAUCAGCUUGUUGGUGAGGUAAUGGCUCACCAAGGCUUCGACGGGUAGCUGGUCUGAGAGGACGAUCAGCCACACUGGCACUGCGACACGGGCCAGACUCCUACGGGAGGCAGCAGUAAGGAAUAUUGCGCAAUGGGCGAAAGCCUGACGCAGCGACGCCGCGUGGGGGAUGAAGGUCUUCGGAUUGUAAACCCCUUUCGGGAGGGAAGAUGGAGCGAGCAAUCGUACGGACGGUACCUCCAGAAGCAGCCACGGCCAACUUCGUGCCAGCAGCCGCGGUAAUACGAAGGUGGCAAGCGUUGUUCGGAUUCACUGGGCGUACAGGGAGCGUAGGCGGUUGGGUAAGCCCUCCGUGAAAUCUCCGGGCCUAACCCGGAAAGUGCGGAGGGGACUGCUUAGCUAGAGGAUGGGAGAGGAGCGCGGAAUUCCCGGUGUAGCGGUGAAAUGCGUAGAGA